UACAGAGGUGCCGAGCGUUAGGCGGAAUCACUGGGCUUAAAGCGUGUAGGCGGACUUCUAAGUACCUUGUGAAAUCCCACGGCUUACCCGUGGAACUGCUGGGUAUACUGGUCGUCUUGAGCCACCUAGGGGCCAGCGGAACAAAUGGUGGAGCGGUGAAAUGCGUAGAUAUCAUUUGGAACGCCAACGGUGAAAACAGCUGGCUGGGGGUGUGCUGACGCUGAGACACGAAAGCCAGGGGAGCGAACGGG
rnacentral:rRNA from 1 species